GGAACCGUGGUGUAGUCGGUCUAACAUGCCUGCCUGUCACGCAGGAGAUCGCGGGUUCGAAUCCCGUCGGUUCCGCCA
rnacentral:tRNA from 1 species